GUCCCUGUAGCGCAAUGAAUAGCGCGUAAUCCAAAGAUCGUGGGAUCGAAUCCUACCUGGGAUG